UAUAUUUCUUUGUGAGCGAUU
rnacentral:piRNA from 1 species